rnacentral:rRNA from 1 species
UACGUAGGGUGCGAGCGUUGUCCGGAAUUAUUGGGCGUAAAGAGCUUGUAGGCGGUUUGUCGCGUCUGCUGUGAAAUUUCGGGGCUCAACCCCGAACUUGCAGUGGGUACGGGCAGACUAGAGUGUGGUAGGGGGAGACUGGAAUUCCUGGUGUAGCGGUGAAAUGCGCAGAUAUCAGGAGGAACACCGAUGGCGAAGGCAGGUCUCUGGGCCACUACUGACGCUGAGAAGCGAAAGCAUGGGGAGCGAACAGG